CCACCAUGUCUAAAAUGCAUUGAGCGUGAUAACGCUACAUCUGUCGCUGAAUGUUCCACUGCUGCUACUGUUACAUUGUCUUCACCUACUGAUGUGGUUACUAACCCCUCUGCGGAGGAUACCACUACUAUUGCUGAUGAAAAUGCUAGGUUGAAGACAUUGCUUGAAACAGGGAUGUAUAAAAGUCUGAAAGGACAUCAGACACUCUGCGAUGUCCUCAAAAAGCAGAUUCUGAACCGAAACCAUAGGAAAGAGGGUGUUGGGUUUGAGAGGAAAAUGAAUGUUGAUGGCUCCUACUGGAAGCCUGAGCAGUAUCCCAAGACCACAUGGGUUGCUGCAAAGGAACCUUCAGUGGAUCCAUCCACCUUAUCUGGCUUUACCUGU
rnacentral:rRNA from 1 species